rfam:Neptunomonas antarctica strain DSM 22306 genome assembly, contig: Ga0111702_112
UUGACUGCGAAGUCUGGCCUGGAGGAAGCCGGACGCACCAGAAGCAGACACUUCGAAGGAAAACUUCGCUGAUGAACAAAAACAUCAUAUGAGGCGUAGGCUGGAGGCGAGUUGGCAUUUAUGCCCCUUAGGUACAAGACGACGAAGCCAUGUUAUCUAACGGCCAUCGUAAAUGAUGCAGGAGCUAGGGAGAAGCAGAAAG